rnacentral:rRNA from 1 species
GACGAACGCUGGCGGCGUGCUUAACACAUGCAAGUCGAACGGAAAGGCCCUGCUUUUGUGGGGUGCUCGAGUGGCGAACGGGUGAGUAACACGUGAGUAACCUGCCCUUGACUUUGGGAUAACUUCAGGAAACUGGGGCUAAUACCGGAUAGGAGCUCCUGCUGCAUGGUGGGGGUGGGAAAGUUUCGGCGGUUGGGGAUGGACUCGCGGCUUAUCAGCUUGUUGGUGGGGUAGUGGCUUACCAAGGCUUUGACGGGUAGCCGGCCUGAGAGGGUGACCGGCCACAUUGGGACUGAGAUACGGCCCAGACUCCUACGGGAGGCAGCAGUGGGGAGUAUUGCACAAUGGGCGGAAGCCUGAUGCAGCAACGCCGCGUGCGGGAUGACGGCCUUCGGGUUGUAAACCGCUUUCGCCUGUGACGAAGCGUGAGUGACGGUAAUGGGUAAAGAAGCACCGGCUAACUACGUG